AUUGAACGCUGGCGGCAGGCCUAACACAUGCAAGUCGAGCGGAUGAAGGGAGCUUGCUCCUGGAUUCAGCGGCGGACGGGUGAGUAAUGCCUAGGAAUCUGCCUGGUAGUGGGGGAUAACGACCGGAAACGGGCGCUAAUACCGCAUACGUCCUGAGGGAGAAAGUGGGGGAUCUUCGGACCUCACGCUAUCAGAUGAGCCUAGGUCGGAUUAGCUAGUUGGUGGGGUAAAGGCCUACCAAGGCGACGAUCCGUAACUGGUCUCAGAGGAUGAUCAGUCACACUGGAACUGAGACACGGUCCAGACUCCUACGGGAGGCAGCAGUGGGGAAUAUUGGACAAUGGGCGAAAGCCUGAUCCAGCCAUGCCGCGUGUGUGAAGAAGGUCUUCGGAUUGUAAAGCACUUUAAGUUGGGAGGAAGGGCAGUAAGUUAAUACCUUGCUGUUUUGACGUUACCAACAGAAUAAGCACCGGCUAACUUCGUG
rnacentral:rRNA from 1 species